rnacentral:lncRNA from 1 species
AGGGCCUCCAUUCCCUAGUCGCCUUUUGCCAACAUUAGGGCUUCAAUCCCUGAGUUGAGCCUUUUAGACAUAGGGCCUCCAUUCCCUAGUCGCCUUUUGCCCACAUUAGGGCUCCAAUCCCUGAGUUGAGCCUUUUUAGACAUAGGGCCUCCAUUCCCUAGUGGCCUUUUGCCAACAUUAGGGCUCCAAUCCCUAACUUGAGCCUUUUUAGACAUAGGGUCUCCAUUCCCUAGCCGCCUUUCGCCAACAUUAGGGCUUCAAUCCCUGAGUUGAGCCUUUUAGACUUAGGGCCUCCAUUCCAUAGUCGCAUUUUGCAAACAUUAGGGCUUUAAUCUUUGAGUUGAGCCUUUUAAACAUAGGGCCUCUACUCUAUAGUCGCCUUUUGCCAAUAUUAGGGCUCCAAUCCCUGAGUUGAGCCUUUUAGACACAGGGCCUUCAUUCCCUAGUCGCCUUUUCUGCCAACAUUAGGGAUCCAAUCCCUGAGUUGAGCCUUUUAGACAUAGGGCCUCCAUUCCCUGGUCGUCUUUUCUGCCAAUAUUAAGGCUCCAAUCCCUGAGUUGAGCCUUUUUGACAUAGGGCCUCCAUUCCCUAAUCGCCUUUUGCCAAUAUUAGGGAUCCAAUCUUUGUGUUGAGCCAUUUUAAACAUAUGACCUCCAUUCCCUAGUCGCCUUUUGCCAAUAUUAAGGCUCCAAUCCCUUUGUUGAGCCUUUUAGACAUGGGGCCUCCAUUCCCUCGUCGCCUUUUAUGCCAACAUUA